rnacentral:rRNA from 1 species
GACGAACGCUGGCGGCGUGCUUAACACAUGCAAGUCAAGGGGGCCCAGCAAUGGGCAACCGGCGAACGGGUGCGUAACACGUGAGCAACCUACCGAACUGUGGGGGAUAGCCGGCCUAACGGCCGAGUAAUACCGCAUACGCUCUCAGGGAGGCAUUUCUUUGAGAGGAAACCUACGGGACAGAUCGAGGGGCUCGCGGCCUAUCAGCUAGUUGGCGAGGUAACGGCUCACCAAGGCAACGACGGGUAGCUGGUCUGAGAGGAUGGCCAGCCACAUUGGGACUGAGAUACGGCCCAGACUCCUACGGGAGGCAGCAGUGGGGAAUCUUGCGCAAUGGCCUAACGGCUGACGCAGCGACGCCGCGUGUGGGAUGAAGCUCUUCGG